rnacentral:rRNA from 1 species
UACAGAGGUCUCAAGCGUUGUUCGGAUUUAUUGGGCGUAAAGGGCGCGUAGGCGGCGGGGUAAGUCGGGUGUGAAAUCUCAGGGCUCAACCCUGAAACUGCACUUGAUACUGCUCUGCUUGAGGACUGGAGAGGAGACUGGAAUUCACGGUGUAGCAGUGAAAUGCGGUAGAUAUCGUGAGGAAGACCAGUGGCGAAGGCGGG